AACGAACGCUGGCGGCAGGCCUCAUACAUGCAAGUCGAGCGAUUAAGACUCCUUCGGGAGUGUAUAAAGCGGCGAACGGGUGAGUAACAGGUGGAUGAUCUACCUUCCGGUGGGGGAUAACGGCUGGAAACGGCCGCUAAUACCGCAUUCGGUUAAUACGCUGUGGCGUAUUAAAGAAAGGCGCCUCAAAGCGCCGCCGGGAGAUGAGUCCGCCCCCCAUUAGCUAGUUGGUGAGAUAACAGCUCACCAAGGCAACGAUGGGUAGCCGAACUGAGAGGUUGAUCGGCCACACUGGAACUGAGACACGGUCCAGACACCUACGGGUGGCAGCAGUAGGGAAUAUUGGGCAAUGGGCGAAAGCCUGACCCAGCCAUGCCGCGUGAGUGAUGAAGGUCCUAGAGAUUGUAAAACUCUUUUCUGAGGAAAGAAUGAAUAGGAAGGAAAUGUCCUUAUUUGACGGUACCUCAGGAAUAAGGAACGGCUAACUCCGUGCCAGCAGCCGCGGUAAAACG
rnacentral:rRNA from 1 species